UGGGGAAUAUUGGGCAAUGGGCGCAAGCCUGACCCAGCAACGCCGCGUGAAGGAAGAAGGCUUUCGGGUUGUAAACUUCUUUUCUCAGGGACGAAGAAAGUGACGGUACCUGAGGAAUAAGCCACGGCUAACUACGUGCCAGCAGCCGCGGUAAUACGUAGGUGGCAAGCGUUAUCCGGAUUUACUGGGUGUAAAGGGCGUGUAGGCGGGACUGCAAGUCAGAUGUGAAAACUCAGGGCUCAACCCUGAGCCUGCAUUUGAAACUGUAGUUCUUGAGUACUGGAGAGGCAGACGGAAUUCCUAGUGUAGCGGUGAAAUGCGUAGAUAUUAGGAGGAACACCAGUGGCGAAGGCGGUCUGCUGGACAGCAACUGACGCUGAGGCGCGAAAGCGUGGGGAGCAAACAGG
rnacentral:rRNA from 1 species